UACAGAGACCUCAAGCGUUAUCCGGAAUCAUUGGGCGUAAAGGGUGCGUAGGCGGCGAUGUUAGUCUCGCGUUAAAUUCUCCGGCUCAACCGGGGAGCUGCGUGGGAAACGGCAUUGCUCGAGGACGGAAGGGGUCUCUGGAACUCAUGGUGUAGCGGUGAAAUGCGUUGAUAUCAUGGGGAACACCGAAAGCGAAGGCAAGAGACUGGUCCGCUCCUGACGCUGAAGCACGAAAGCGUGGGUCGCGAAUGGG
rnacentral:rRNA from 1 species